GGUUCUAUGGUGUAAUGGUUAGCACGCUGGACUCUGAAUCCAGCAAUCUGAGUUCAAAUCUUGAUAGGACAU
rnacentral:tRNA from 1 species